GCAUGUAAUCAUAAGCAGAACUUAUAUGAUAAAAAUAUGUGAAAGAUAAACUAAAAAUUCAAGGAAAAUUUAUAAUACAAACUGUGUCAAUAAAAUAUGAAAAUACAAUACUCAACUUCCAUCUACGAAGCCUUUUACUGCCCACUAGCUGCCGACGGAAUCCCAGCGCCGCCAUCCAUCACUGCUCCAGCUUCCUCCAUUAAGCCGCCGCUAGCCGUCGCUGCUCCAGCUGGCAGCCAUCUCCACCAAUGUCGGUAGCCAUCUCCACCAACGCCGGCAGCACCACCAGCCGGUAAAACUACCAUUCACCAGCCAGCCGACAGCCUCCAUUUAGAGGUAAACUCCGUUAACUUCGUUAAGAUUAACAUACAAACUGUCGAGAUAUCGAGCUAGUGCUAGUGCGGGGAGGGGGGCAAUGUAGUUGUUCUACUAUGUUGUGUUUGGUGCUAUGGUUGUUGUGGUAGCAGUUUUUGAGCUGGGUGGCAAGACUAACAAAGAUCGGACAACAACUUCACAGGCUUUUAAUUCCUUUAAGAACAAUUACAUUCUUGUUUACUCUCUUAUGAUGGGUACGUAUGUUUCUCCUAUUAGAUCUGGGUCUUUUUACAUUUUGAAAUUCUGGUAUGUAUGUGCUCGAUAUGAUUAUUUGAGUGUGGAAUUUUGGAUCUGAUUAAUUGGACAUUAUAAGUUUGUUCUGCAUUAGUUGUCAGGUUGUGGUAUAAAUGAAAUCUAGCUUCGAAUCCUAACUCAUUUUAUGUUAUCUGGAUGUUGAAAAAGCUUCCAAGUGUUGAUAUGCAGCUCAAUUUGCUUAAUGGUCUUUAGAUCUAUUUGUACAUCACUGUGUGAAAAUACACUGGGUUUGUUGUUGUUGUUUUUGUUGUUGUAUUUCAUUAAGAGUUCUCCAAUACUAUCUGUAUUCCUUGUGCUGUAUCUUUCUAAAUUAUGGCAUCAAGACCAAAAUUUAGUUUCUUUACUUUUCUAAAAGAAAAGGUUGAUCUUGCUUAAAGGUUUUAGAAUAUCUAUACCUUGAGUAUACAUAAACUUGUACAAUGUGCUCAAAGUUCAGUCAUAUUGUAGACAUGUAGUAACUUGAAAAUGGAGUUGUGUAUCUUUUAAUUUGCUAAGCUCAUUAUUUUCGAAGAUGAUGUUGUUGGUUAUUUUUGUUUAGAAGGUGAUAUUGUUGGUUACUUUAUUUGUUGAAAAUGCUUAAGUGCCGAUGACUUUAAUAGUGAAUUAGUGUUUAGAAGGUGAUGUUGUUGGUGACUUUAUUUGUUGAAAAUGCUUAAGUGCCGAUGACUUUAAUAGUGAACUUUUGUUUAGAAGGUGAUGUUGUUGGUUACUUUAUUUGUUGAAAAUGGUUAAGUGCCGGUGACUUUAAAAGUGAACUUUUGUUUAGAAGGUGAUGUUGUUGGUUACUUUAUUUGUUGAAAAUGCUUAAGUGCUGGUGACUUUAAUAGUGAAUUAGUGUUUAGAAGGCGAUGUUGUUGGUGACUUUAUUUGUUAAAAAUGCUUAAGUUUUGGUGACUUUAAUAGUGAAUUAGUGUUUAGGAGGUGAUGUUGUUGGUGACUUUAUUUGUUGAAAAUGCUUUAGUGCCGGUGACUUUAUUUGUUGGUGACUGCUGUAUAUUAUUGUUGUGGUUGCAUGCAGUAUUUGGAUUUUCAAUUUUUCUUUUUAAAUUUCCAGAAAUAUAUUUUAUUUUAUUUGCAAAAAACCGACCACAAGUGGUCAGUUUUUCUAAUUUUUUUUUUUGUAAAAAACCGAUCACAAGUGGUCGGUUUUUUCUAUAUUUUUUUUGCAAAAAACCGACCACUCUUAUAAAAUUAAUUUAUUAGUUUAACUGAAAACCUACCACAUGUGGUCAUUUUUUAUUAAAUUAAUAAAAUUAAUUUUAUAAAAAAUCGACCACACGUGGUCGGUUUAUUUUUUCUAAAAUUAUUUUUUCAUUUAAAUAAAAUAAUAAUAAAUUUAAAAAUAAUUAAAUAUAUAUAUAUAUUUAAAAAAACCGACCACUCGUGGUGGAUUUUUAAAAAGCUACCGCUACUUUUCCGACUAAAAAUUUUGGUCGAUUUUGUGGUCGGAAAAUGGGGAAAACCGACCACUUGUAGUCGAUUUUUGUGGUCGAUUUUCCUUUUUUUUUUAGUAGUAAGUUCAUAUAUGUACACUAGAACCAAGCAUAGCUUAAGCUAACAACAUUCUAAAAUUCUCUGUGAUCAUAUUCAUAUCUUGUUUCACUUGCACCAUAGACACCCUAAAUAUGUACUUUAACACAAAGGUGCUCACUAUUAACAACUCAUUAAGAACACAAAGAAGUCCUCAAAACUAGGAUAAAAGUGCAUAGAUAAUGACUUAGGAGUAUAAAUACAUCUAUGAUCAGCAAGGAAUAAGAGGAAAAUGCCAAUCCGGCAAAGGCGUGGUCUUACUCACGAUUUACAGAAAAAAGAUAACGGUCGUCAGUUAUGUAUAAGCUAACGCGUGAAUGAAGCUACGACUUGAAAGGCGCAAGCCUUACCACGCAUUAGUGCAUAACCAAUUAGGAUAAAUUUGACAGGAUACAGAAACUUGAAUGUCACAGCAAAAAUGCUUUACCUUAAAAUAAAUACUCCAUGGUUAUCCACUUCCAUUUUCUUUUUAAGUUAGAAACAAAAAGGAGAAGAGGAGCAUUUUAACAAUCACGUAUUUUACAAAUAAUUGUAGCAAUUAAUUUGAAUAUCAGAUACACUCACCGUAGCUUUACUUUUAAUUACCUCUCUCCUUAUUAAUUCCACAACUUCCGAAUAGUUGUUUGUGGAAAUGUCAAGGGACCUCACUGAUUUUCAAUGAUAUGCAUGAAGUUUGACAGCAUUUUCUUGAAUUUCUUCCCGAGCAUAGGAAUGAGAUGAAAUACUCUAAACUGAAAGAAGAUUUUAUCAAAAAUAAUGAGAAUGAUAAAUGAACAAAGUUGUGUAGGAAAAGCAGUAUGUGGUACUUUGUUUAUUUAUCAUUAUUUUUUAUGACAUCUUCUUUCAGUUUAGAAUAUUUGACCUCGUUCCUAAGCACUCGGAGAAAAGUUCUUUAAGAAAAUGUUGUCAAACUUCAUGCAUAUUAUCCAAAAGCAGUGAGGUCCCUUGGCAUUUCCACAAAACAACUAUUCGUAAGUUGUGGAAUUAAAAUGGAGAGGGCAAUUAAAAGUAAAGCUAUGGUGGGUGUAUCUGAUAUUCAAAUUAAUUGCUACAAUUAUUUGUAAAAUACAAGAUUUUUUUUAAUUCUACACUUCUCCUUUUUGUUUCCAACUUAAAACGAAAUGGAAGCUGAUAUACAUGGAGUAUUUAUUUUCUGGUAGAGCAUCUUUGUUGUGACUUUCAAGUUCUGUAUUCUGUCAAACCUAUCCUCUUUUGUUAGCACUAAGGCAUGGGACUGCUUGUGCCUUGCAAGGCAUGGCUUCCUUCACGCUUUAGCUUUAUACAUAACUUUCAUUUGCUAGGCGUGAGGAAGGCCACGCCUUUGAGUGUUUGAAAUUUUCCCAUUCUUCCUUAACCUUUUUGAACUUUAAAUGAAAAAAAUUGUUCGUCCGGCUACCGAUUUCUCUAAAAGGCAGUAAGAUAAGGUCUAGCACUCCUUACUUGUACUUUUUCACAUUGAGGAUUUUAUUAUUAAUAAAAGACCGCUUGACAUUCAGUAUAGUGGUAUUUAAUUAAAAAAAAUUCUAAAAAAGGCAUCCGCUUAAUUUCUCAUAUUUGUUCCUUUAAUUUUAUACACAUAAUAACAAAGCACCAAGGCAAAAAAAAAAAAAAAAAAAAAAGGAAAAAAAAAAAAAAAAAAAAAAAAAAGAGGAAAUACAAACAUCAAAAGAAUUCAAUCAAUAUGGUAAAAGAAUUUUUAUGUAUCAAAUCAAUCAAAAACUUCAUAGAUUAUAGUAUUUUAUAUUUAUGAUGAAAUAUGUAUCUAUGGUUGUAUCAUGUGUUUGUGCGCGCGCCCAAAACUAGGAAUUAAGGUCUUGGUUAGGAUAGAGCAAAUUCUAGAUUGAGAAAGAAACUUCUUGUUUUUAGUCCCUGAAAUAUUGAUAAGUUUUUGUUUUGGUUCGUGUAAUAUCUAUCUAUUUAUAUCUAUAUCUAUAUCUAUAUCUAUAUAUUAUAAAUAGUAAGAAAGUCUUGCAUAGAUAGAUGUCAAGUGGCUAAAUAGGAUAAUGCCAUGUGGUACCUUUUAGGACAAAUUAGUUAGACUAGGUAAAAUUAAUUAUUUUUUUUUUAAUGUAAAUUAAAAGUAAUAAAUAUUUUCUAUUUCAAAUAAAAAAAAUUGGGAAGUUACAACAUAAGAAAAAACAUGCACAUAUUAUUUAAUAUAUUUAUAAAGAACAUUUUAAAUUAUUAGAAGUUAACAGAUUUUUAUAUCUACUAUUAAACAUUAAAAUAUUUUUUAUUGAAUUAACAUAUUUGAAUUUAAUUUAUAUCUUAACGUAUUUAAGAGACUUAUAUCUUCAUAUUUAAUUUAUAUCUUAAAUUUUUGUAAUCCUAUAAUUUUUCACUUUGAACUGCGUUAAGAAAAGGUAAAAAGGAAGGGGUAGUGUGUUUUUUCUUUUUCUGUUUGCAAUAUUAAUAAAUCAAAUAUAUUUUAUUUUAAAAAAUAAAGAAAAUACAAAAAAAAAAGAUAAAACCUAACAAAACCCCCUAAUGCACGCCACAAUUCCCGUCCCCAUUUUUCGGGCACGUAUCCCACGCAACCACUUAAUAUUUUUUAUUUUUAAUUUUUAAAAGUAAAAAGAUAAAACAAUUAAUAGAUCAAAAUUAAAUUUAACUAAUCUAAAUAUUAUUAUCAAACAAAAUAUAAAUAUCCCACAUUCAUAAUUUUCAAUGAACAAGAAGUGGCUACAAAUUAGUAUUUGAAAUUUGAAAUGAGUAGUUGUUAUGUGUAAAAUAACUAUUUAAAUUUAUUCAUUUACUAAUGAUUUAAAAAAAUAUAUAAAAAAAAAAUAUUAAAAAAAAUAAAAAAUUGAUAACUCUUAACUUAAACACUAACAGUCCAUACAUCCUAAUCCCCACAACCUCAAUUCACUAGCACUUAUUUUUGUUCUCCAAUUUUCCUGCACACUAAAAAUACUAUACAUAAUUCAAAUAAAUGUAUUAUCAUGUUGAUAUUUGAUAAAAGUAAAGUAUGUGCAUUAUCUUUUGCAUUCUUAUUUUAAUUUGAAGUUGAAAAGAAGCACUUUAACAAUUAAAUGAACGAAAAAAUGAUCGAUGUAACUGAUGAUAUACCACAACACCCUAUUAAUUCUAUAUCAAUAUGGUAUAGUCAUUUAAAUUUCAAAUUGGUGUCCUAUUAUUUUGUAUUGUCUCUUCAAAGGAUAAUUUAUUUAUACUUUUAGAAAAAUGAAUUUCCAUCACAAAUACAGAUUUAAAAAAUUUAAAACUAAAUUUUAAUAAGCGAGACUCUUUUUUUUUUUUUUUACCUUUGUUUUGGAUAACUAUUUCUACUUUUUUUAUUUUUAUAAAUUCUUAAAAAAAAAAAAAAAUAAAAUAACUAUCAUUGUGAUUUUAAAUUUUAAAUCAAUUAAAUUUUAAAUUCAAAUUCAAAACUAGAAAUGUAAUGUUUAUGAAAGCAAUUCAAAUUAUAUAUCACUUUCUAUAACAUAAAUUCAUUUUGAAAUUAAAAUGUUUAGAUAAAUUUAUUUGUCCGUUUGAAAUUGAACUAAGAGAUAAACAUUUUUUUAAAAACAAAAUUAAUUAAAUAAAAUAAAUUGAUAUUUGAUUUAUAAAAACAUUGAAAUAAGAACUUCUAAAAAAUUGAAAUGCCUACAUUUGAAAUUCAAGUGUUUUUUUUUUUUAAAAAAAAAAAGGUAACUAAACUGCCCCAUUACUCCACUAACUCCACUUCAAGCACCCCUCCCACCUCCCCACGUCUCUUUAUUUGUCAAUUUACUUUCACACACUUGCAUUGAAAAAUUUCAAUAUAAACUUAUAACAUAAAUUUCGCCGAAAAUUUUCAACACAAAUUAUUUUGAAACAUAAAAUUCAAAAGAAAAAAUUGUCAUUUCAAAUUUCGAAUUUUAAAAUCUAAAAUUUGUACAUAAAUGCAGUCAUAAUUAAAUCGUUUAAUUUAUCAUAUUUUUCUUCUUGAACAUCAAUCAAUAAUUCAUUUUCUAAAAAGGAAUCUCUUUGCAAACUUCAUUUGACAAAGUACUCUUAUGAAGAAUUAUUUGACAAAUAAAUCUCUAUUCUUCAUUUGAUAUAAUUAUUUGAGUUUUUGGGAAGAAUCAGUGGCAAAGUACUCUUAGGAAGGAAUAUUGAUAUAUUAUUCCUUUUUACAUUUUUUUUUCAUAAUCAUCUCGAUCUUUUUUACUGUCUCUAUUAUUUGUACUCAUAUCUAUAUUUACUUUUCUCAUUUAGUGCCUUCAGUUCAUUGCGGGAGUCAAUAUUCAUAAAAUACAACUACUAUCUUAUUUGGAAUAAUAUGAGAACUCUAAUUCUUAUUGACUUAUUAUUUUGAUUAGGUAAAAUGACCUUCUGGACCCUUGUACUAUAUCGGUUUAGUAAGUUGGACACUUCUACUUACAUGUUUGUCAUCUAGACCCCUAAACCCACUAAAAAACUAUUUUUAAAUUCUUUGAACGUUGACUUUGUCUACGUGGCAUUAAAUGGCUGACUAGGAUAAGGAAAGUGUAGUCACUCGCCUGGGGUAUGAGUGGGGGUCAAUUUUGACCUAUUUUAUAUUAAAAUAAUUUUAAAAAAAUUAAAAAUAAUAUUAAAACUAAAAAAAUAAUUAAAAAGAUCUUUUUUUCCUCCAUAUUUUUUAACUUAAAAAUAUUUUUAAAAAUAAUAAAUUUAAAAAAAAAAAAAAAAAAAAACCCUCCCCCAACACCCCCCCCCUCCCACNNNNNNNNNNNNNNNNNNNNNNNNNNNNNNNNNNNNNNNNNNNNNNNNNNNNNNNNNNNNNNNUCUUCCCUAAGCCCUUCGCCUCCAUCCCAACCCCCAACCCUUCUCCCCCGCCGCCCCACCAGUUCCCAAGCAAAGAAACCUCCAUUCACAAAGACACCGAUUCACAAAAUUUAUUCAAAUCAAGAAUUUUCUACAUUCUUGAAUUAUCCAAAUCACAAAAAUUUCAAAAAAAAAAAAGCGCAAAAAUUGUAUUUUUAUAUUGAAUUUCAAGUUUCUCGAAUUACCCAAAUACAAAAAAUUCAAAGAAAGCAUUAAAAUUGAGUCUUGACAUUGAAUUUCAGGUUUCUUAAAUUACCCAAAUCACAAAAAUCUCUAAAAAUUUCUUCUUUUCAUACUUCUUAAAUUUUUUGGCCCUCACUUUUCAAUUUUUCCGUAGAGCAAGAAGAAUAGGAAGAUGAAGAUGACAAAAGCAAAAGAAGAAUGAGAAGACAAGGAAGAAGAUUAAGAAAAAGAAAGAAGAAGAAGAAAUAGAGAGAAAGAACCAGAAAAGGAAAGAAAAAGGGGAAAAGAGAUAAAAAGGGGUAGGGGUUGUUUUAUUUGUUUAUUUAUUUAUUUAUUUAUUACAUAUAAAAAUGACGUGGCAGAUAACGUGGCACACGUGACAGUUGAUAUGGCAGCUGGCGUGGGAGAGUGUAUUACACUCACCAAAAAAGUAUUUAAAAUAUUACUUUUUAGUGGGUUCAGGGGUCCAGAUAACAAACAUGUAAGUAGAAGUAUCCAACUUACAAAACCGAUAUAAUACAAGGGUCCAGAAGAUCAUUUUACCUUUUGAUUAUUAUAUAGGACUAUUUGGAUUUGGUGUUGCUUAUAAAUAUAUUUUAGCUUUACUUUAGCCUAUUAAUGUCCUCGAUAUUUUGGAUUUAUUCACUGAUGUAUUUACAGUAGAAAGUGUUAAUGUAUAUUAGUUUCUAUCAUCUAUAAAGAUUAAAAAGAUUUAUUACUUUAUAUCUUAAUAUUAAAACUAUAUAAUUAUUAGGUGAAGUUUUAGAUUGUUAAUUUUAGCAUGAUUUGGGGAUUGAGGGUCUAUUCACAGAGAGAGUCCUGCAUAAACUUUUGUGCAAUAAAAUUUAUAGUUUGAGAUUAAGUGUAAUAAAAUUUAUAGCUUUCUUUAUUUUAUAAUUCGUAAUAUGUUGAAAAACUUAAACCUAAUAUUAGAUAGAGAAAUACUAUUUUACAUAUUUCAUUCAAAUAAUUAAUUAAGAUCCUUUUUGAGUUGUGUUAAAGUUCUCUUUUACAAUUUUUCCUUAUAUUUGUUGGAUGACAUUUUUUUUUCUUAUAGUUUUCUUUGUUCUAUAAUCCAACUUCUUUUUUAGAAUUAAUCAAAGAUCACCCGAUAAUUUUGAACUUUUCAAAGGAGGUUACGGUCAUAAAAAAAUCAGAGAAGAUAAUAAAUAUACUAUUACAAACACAAAAAUAAUUACUGUUAUGGAAGAAAAAUUGAAAAGUAUUCUAUUUUAAAUCAUCUCAAUUAUAAAUGAGAAUAGUAAGGAAAUUAAAGUGAGCUAACAAUACAAGGUGGAAUAACAAUUUUUGAUAAUUUGUUUUUGGUAGAUAAAUUUUAUUAAUAGUCAAAGAGAAAUAUUAUAAUUUUUGGUAAUAUUAAUAACAAUAUUAGAAAAUUAGGUGAGGUUAUUCUUAGAAUUCUAAUUAAAAGGUAAAAAAUAAAAAUUACGUAUGAUUUUAUUAGGAAUCUGAUCUGAAAUAUUAUUUUAAAUUUGAAUUAAAAGAUAACAUUAUGUUUCCACUUCUUAACAGAUUAAAAAAUUAAAUACAUAACUCAACUAAUUAACAAUUAUUUAUUAACAUCAUAAUUUAUUUAAAAUAUGUCAAUAGCAUAUAACGAGGAUAUUUCAUUUUCAUAUCUAAACGUUUAAAGUUAUUGCAACUGCGAUAUGAUCCUAAAGGGUUGUUUGGUAGAAGAAAUAAGAAGAAUAAUUUUGGGAUUAACUUUAUCCCAUAUUUGGUAUAAGAUAUUUCUUAAUUCUAGAAUAAUUUUGUCCCACCAUUUAUACUAAAAUGGUGAUAUUACUAUCCAAUAGGGAGAAGAAAUAAAAUAAUCCCAUGGGAUAUCCCACCUCAUCGGAUAUACUUAGUUACCCCAUCCAUAUACCAAACGAUCCGUAAGUGUUUAUUAAACUUUUAAUAUUAUAUUAAAGUAUAUAUCAUUGAUGAUGUUGAAUUUAAUAAUAUUGAUAGUCAUAUUUCUUACUUCACAAAUUUAUUGAUUUUACAUACAUCAAUUUGAUGAAAAAAAUUAUAUCAAAUAAAUAAAAUUAAAAAAUAUGAUUAAUUUUCUUUAAUAUCGUCCGCGCAUCGCGUGGGAAGGUAUACUAAGGGCAAGCCUAUGGUUCAUUAUGUGUAACUUGUGAAUUAUUUCUAAGAGUGAGCGUAAAUUGAUUCUAAUACCCAUUCUUGUAAUAAUUGCAUCUUUAUGAGUGAGUAUGGGUACCUCUAUUGUGAUGAGGGCACAUGUUAUGAUAGUUGGGUAAUUUGUAUGAUCUCAUUGAUUGUGUAAUAUGCAUGAGUUUGCCAACUUGGUGAGUCAGUUCUUGAGGUUAUGAUGUUUUGAAGUAGCGGUCUUGAGCUUUCAUUUGUGUAUAACAUUCUUAAGAUAAAAACUUGCUAUAUGUGUAGUCAUUAUAGUAUUAUUUUGAAUGUCUUGCCUGUAAUAAAAGUGUGGAGUCUUCUCUAAUUAGUGUGUGUAAUGAAUUACUAAAGGUAUAACUGUGCAAUUAUGUGUGGAAUAACUUGUUUAUAGUUUUUAAGGUUCAAUCAAGCUAAGAGACAAAGUAAUAAGUUAAUAUUUUUGGCUACUGAUUUAAUCUUAAUAACUGAACUAAAACUCUUGGUUACAUUUGCACUAAUUGAAUCUUAAUAGCUGAACUGAAAUUGGAUAGUUGCUUAACACUAGUCCCUUUUAGAUCGAUAUUUGACUUUCUUAAGGCCACUAUAUUACUUGAGUGGACCACGUACACUUGCGUGUGCGUUUGGGCGCAACAGUAUUAAUCAACAUCUAAAUUUAAAUAGCUUUUUUAAAACAACAAGAAAAUUUGAGAUGUGAUUACAAUUGAGAAAUAUCAAUAUGAUAUUCACAAAAAGAGUCAUAGACAUGAUUGAGCAAAUAAAAUUGCAAGGUCAAAUAUAUAGAAAGAAUAUUAUAUCUAUCAUAUGGUGACAAUUAAUUGCGUACAUUAAAAUUUAUUUCAUUUUACAUCACAUCUAUCUAGCUAAAUUUAAUUGUUUAAUUUUGCAAGUCUAUACGGUUCAUGAGAUUUUGCUUUUGACAAUCAAGUCAUUUGUGUAUGCUAACUAUACAUGUAUCAAAUUAAGCUUGUACUUUCUCUCUUUAAAUUUACAAUUAUUCAUUAUUUGCAUGUUUUAAUAUUAUCGUCAUUUUAAAAUAUCUAUACCAUAAAAGUUGGAACACAUAUAAAUCAUGUGUCUAGAAACUAGUAACUAAAGAAAAAGAGGUGAAUGCUUAUUCUAUUCGAUUUUCUACAAAUUUAUUUUUUAAAAGUAAUAUUAGAUCUUCAAUAAACUUAUGAAUAGAGAAGCAAAUCUUCAAUUAAUUUAAGAAAAACAAAGAAAUAAAUCAUAACAAAGUGAAUAGGUCAAGAUUAAUGCGAGGAAUGUAACGGAAGGAUUCAUACCUUUGCAAGCUGAACAAAAAGCAUCAGCUCCUCCGACAAUGAAGAGGAUUUAUCACCCACAACAGAAGAAGACAGAGACCAGAGUUUAGAAGAGAAAAUGAACACAUCCUUAAUGAUGGGGAGAAAGAGAUGGUUAAGAGGAGAGGACAGAGGAGCGCAUUAAGAGACCCUAUCUUUUAG
rnacentral:lncRNA from 1 species